rnacentral:rRNA from 1 species
GAUGAACGAAAGCGUGGGUAGCGAACAGGAUUAGAUACCCUUGGUAGUCCCACGCCCGUAAACGAUGGAUACUAGCUGUUCGGUUUUCGGACUGAGUGGCUAAGCGAAAGUGAUAAGUAUCCCACCUGGGGAGUACGUUCGCAAGAAUGAAACUCAAAGGAAUUGACGGGGGCCCGCACAAGCGGUGGAGCAUGUGGUUUAAUUCGAUGAUACGCGAGGAACCUUACCAAGGCUUAAAUGUAGAUUGACAGGUUUAGAGAUAGACUUUUCUUCGGACAAUUUACAAGGUGCUGCAUGGUUGUCGUCAGCUCGUGCCGUGAGGUGUCAGGUUAAGUCCUAUAACGAGCGCAACCCCUAUUGUUAGUUGCCAGCGAGUAAUGUCGGGAACUCUAACAAGACUGCCGGUGCAAACCGUGAGGAAGGUGGGGAUGACGUCAAAUCAUCACGGCCCUUACGUCUUGGGCUACACACGUGCUACAAUGGCCAGUACAGAAAGCAGCUACCAGGCAACUGGAUGCGAAUCUCAAAAACUGGUCUCAGUUCGGAUUGGAGUCUGCAACUCGACUCCAUGAAGCUGGAAUCGCUAGUAAUCGGAUAUCAGCCAUGAUCCGGUGAAUACGUUCCCGGGCCUUGUACACACCGCCCGUCAAGCCAUGGAAGCCGGGGGUACCUGAAGUCGGUCGCCGCAAGGAGCUGA